rnacentral:rRNA from 1 species
UUUCUCUCACCACACUUUAAAGGAGGCAGCAGGCCGCGUAAAUUGCCCGAAUUCCCUGACACCAGGGAGGUAGUGACCAAGAAACUAACCAUUGCAGGCUCUUCGAGUCUUGUAAUUGGAAUGAGUACAAUUUACAUCUCUUCACGAGGAUCAAUUGGAGGGCAAGUCUGGUGCCAGCAGCCGCGGUAAUUCCAGCUCCAAUAGCGUAUAUUAAAGUUGUUGCAGUUAAAACGCUCGUAGUCGGAAUUUCGGGGCGGUCCCGCCGGUCUGCCGAUGGGUACGCACUGGCGGGCGCGUCCUUCCUCCCGGAGACGGCCGCUACUCUUAACUGAGCGGUGGUCGGAGACGGGAUGUUUACUUUGAAAAAAUCAGAGUGUUUCAAGCAGGCAGUCGCUCUUGCAUGGAUUAGCAUGGGAUAAUGAAAUAGGACUCUGGUGCUAUUUUGUUGGUUUCGAGCACCGGAGUAAUGAUUAACAGGGACAGUCAGGGGCACUCGUAUUCCGCCGAGAGAGGUGAAAUUCUCAGACCAGCGGAAGACGAACGACUGCGAAAGCAUUUGCCAGGGAUGUUUUCACUGAUCAAGAACGAAAGUUAGGGGAUCGAAGACGAUCAGAUACCGUCGUAGUCUUAACCAUAAACCAUGCCGACUAGGGAUUGGAGGAUGUUCCGUUUGUGACUCCUUCAGCACCUUUCGGGAAACUAAAGUCUUUGGGUUCCGGGGGGAGUAUGGUCGCAAGGCUGAAACUUAAAGGAAUUGACGGAAGGGCACCACCAGGAGUGGAGCCUGCGGCUUAAUUUGACUCAACACGGGGAAACUUACCAGGUCCAGACAUUGUGAGGAUUGACAGAUUGAGAGCUCUUUCUUGAUUCGAUGGGUGGUGGUGCAUGGCCGUUCUUAGUUGGUGGAGUGAUUUGUCUGGUUAAAUCCGUUAACGAACGAGACCGCAGCCUGCUAAAUAGUUGCACCCAACCCCCUGUUGGGGCUCGCUUCUUAGAGGGACAACUGUCUCAACAAGGAAGAGU